rnacentral:rRNA from 1 species
UACAGAGGGUGCGAGCGUUGUCCGGAAUUAUUGGGCGUAAAGAGCUCGUAGGCGGUUUGUCGCGUCUGCUGUGAAAUCCCGAGGCUCAACCUCGGGCCUGCAGUGGGUACGGGCAGACUGGAGUGCGGUAGGGGAGAAUGGAAUUCCUGGUGUAGCGGUGGAAUGCGCAGAUAUCAGGAGGAACACCGAUGGCGAAGGCAGUUCUCUGGGCCGUAACUGACGCUGAGGAGCGAAAGCGUGGGGAGCGAACAGG